rnacentral:rRNA from 1 species
GGGAAUCGUAGAGGGUACCCGUAAGUCUUAACGGGUAACCGUAAAGUUUUAUCUUGCUUCUAGAAAGUUAGCGGCGGACGGCUGAAUAACACGUGGGCAACCUGCCUGUAAGACUGGGAUAACUUCGGGAAACCGAAGCUAAUACCGGAUAGGAUCUUCUCCUUCAUGGGAGAUGAUUGAAAGAUGGUUUCGGCUAUCACUUACAGAUGGGCCCGCGGUGCAUUAGCUAGUUGGUGAGGUAACGGCUCACCAAGGCAACGAUGCAUAGCCGACCUGAGAGGGUGAUCGGCCACACUGGGACUGAAACACGGCCCAACUCCUACGGGAGGCAGCAGUAGGGAAUCUUCCGCAAUGGACGAGGGGGUGAGGGAGCAACGCCGCGUGAGUGAUGAAGGCUUUCGGGUCGUAAACUCUGUUGUUAGGGAAGAACAAGUACGAAGUAACUGCUCG